GAAGGACUUUCUGUCCAAAUGCACAAACAAAGCAGCAUCCCCAGUAUUUCACCAAUAAAACGUUUGUUUUACACCUCCUUUCCCCACGGUUCUGUGCUGAAUUCUUUGGUCGGGCUGUCUACUUCAGCAUAGCACAAAAUGGCACCACUGCAUUAUUAUUUCUCAGCAAUGGAACAUUGAAACACCAUAGCAGAUGGGUGGUGUUAUUGUGUAUUUUGACUUGAGUGCUGUACCUGUACCUUUACAACAGUUUUGAUUUGUGGUUUCGUAAGUGAAGUCAACAGUUCAAAAACUGAAGAGAAAAGAAAUAGUGGCAAAGGGCUUUACAAUGUUUAUACCUGUUUUUUAAAUACAUGGGAUGGAAUUCUUAAACUUGGAAGUUUAAGUUCAAACCAAAAACAACAUUGAAAUGCACUACAUUAAAGUAUAAUGUUUUCUGUAUAAA